UCUGGCGCCGGCGGGGAUCNUCCGCAUGGCGGUCGUGUAUUCGNUGUUCUGUUUUUCUCCUCACCCAAAUCUUGAUGCGGAUGAUACCCUUCUCUUGCCAGCGAGCAAGCACUCUGCGCUCUGCGAGUGGCUUCGACUCGUUCGAGGGCCGCACUCAAUGCAGCAGUCACAUUGCUCACAAUGUGAACUCAUUGAGAGCAGAGGCAGUGCAGCAGCCGCUGCCAGUGCUUAGUCACGCAAACUUUCUUUGCAUCUGAAAUCAAGCAGGACCACCCGCUGAACUUAAGCAUAUCAAUAAGCGGAGGA
rnacentral:rRNA from 1 species